AGGUAGGGUUCUGAGAGGAAGGUCCCCCACAUUGGAACUGAGACACGGUCCAAACUCCUACGGGAGGCAGCAG
rnacentral:rRNA from 1 species